AUGAAGGAUGCUGGGUAUGGUAUACUUCCCACUAUUCUCUCAGUAUGUCAUUCUCCUGAUUGGUUGAUUGACACGAGUGCUAAUGUGCAUGUAUGUGGUGAUAUUACCAUGUUUUCGUCUUAUCAGACCGCAGGGACUUCAACCGUGCUGAUGGGCAACGGUUCAAGUUCUUCUGUUCAUGGUGUUGGCACGGUCGAUCUGAAGUUUACUUCGGGGAAGAUCGUGCGGCUGAAGAACAUGCAUUAUGUCCCCUCCGUCAAUAAAAAUCUUGUUAGCGGAUCUCUUCUGUGUAGAGAUGGCUACAAGCUUGUCUUUGAGUCAAAUAAAUUUGUAAUAUUCAAGUAUGGAACCUUUGUUGGUAAAGGCUAUGAGUCAGGAGGCCUGUUUCGUUUAUCCUUAUCAGACGUUUGCAAUAAAGUUGUUAAUCAUAUUUGCAACAAUAGUGAAUCAAAUGUAUGGCAUUCACGUCUUUGUCAUGUUAACUUUGGUUGCAUGUUGCGACUAGCGAAGUUGAACUUAAUCCCUAGUUUCACCACUGUCAAGGGAUCUAAGUGUCAAGUAUGUGUGCAAGCUAAGCAACCUCGUAAGACUCACGUGACUGCGGAGACGAGAAAUCUUGCACCACUAGAACUUAUACAUUCAGAUCUAUGUGAAAUGAAUGGUGUUUUGACAAAAGAUGGAAAGAAAUAUUUCAUGACGUUAAUUGACGACUCCACUAGAUACUGCCGUGUUAUCUUCUGA
rnacentral:rRNA from 1 species